rnacentral:rRNA from 1 species
CAGCAGCCGCGGGAAUACGGAGGGUGCAAGCGUUAAUCGGAAUUACUGGGCGUAAAGCGCACGCAGGCGGUUUGUUAAGUCAGAUGUGAAAUCCCCGAGCUUAACUUGGGAACUGCAUUUGAAACUGGCAAGCUAGAGUCUUGUAGAGGGGGGUAGAAUUCCAGGUGUAGCGGUGAAAUGCGUAGAGAUCUGGAGGAAUACCGGUGGCGAAGGCGGCCCCCUGGACAAAGACUGACGCUCAGGUGCGAAAGCGUGGGGAGCAGACGGGAUUAGAUACCCCUGUAGUCCCUGUCUCUUAUAA